GGCCUCCACUGUGCUGCCAGCUGCUCUCUGUGCGUCCUCUGCUUGCCUCGCGCGUGGACUCCACAAGGCGAGAGUCACUGGGGCUGUGACUUUGAGAAGGAUGAGCUGACCAGCGCGCAGAGGCAGGGCAGGGGAGGUCGCGGCGUCCCCUCUUGGGUCGGUGAUCAGGCCCUUGAGUCUGCGCGCGGGGGACAGCUGCGUACCGGGGCCGGACAACAGAAAAAUGGCAGGUCUGAUGAAUCUCAAUGAGGAACACGCCACUUUCAGACGCCAUCAGUGACUGGCAUAAAUGACGGAGCUCUGGGAGAAUGUCACCAGGAAAGCCUUUACAAAAAGACAUCACCGAAGGCUCUCAGGACCGGGGACUCCCAUGCUGUGAGGCUUGUUUUAGAGAGCGAUGUCUCCUGUAAAAUCUAAUUACUUCUCCCUUGUGAUUCUCAAUUGACAGCACGGACUAUUAAUCUUAAUUGCCUUCUCCUGCCGCUUUUGUCUUAAUGUCCAUGAUAAAUGUGGGGUACCCGGGAGGUUGGCAGAGGUUUCACUGAGGAGUCCCCCCAAAUUGGGCUGGAGGGUGACGUGCGGAUGGCAGCACCCCAACCCUACUCUUCUCCCUUCUCAGGGACUCCCAGAAGAGUUGGAGAUGUUGAUAAUGGAGCGCUCAGAGAAAUGUCUGUAGAGUCCUGAGGGCCCCCAUAAGAACAUUCUUUUCCAGGGUGGAUUUUAGGUCUACCUCUGAACGAGGUAGAAAAUGGGAUUCUGGAAAGUGACAUCGUGAGAGGUGAAGAUGGAGCCUUGUGUGUGACGAAGACAGGAUGGUCUGUCUCAGGGCUCCGGGGUGACAGCAGAUCCACAGCCAGCCACUCCCUGGACACAUUAUGAACCCUGCGCCAGUUACAUCAGCCUGGGCUUGCCUUGUGCCGUUUGGAAGAAUGGACAUAGGAGUCCUAAGAUCUCUGUCCAUGUAUAGAACAAGAGCCUGGGUUGUUCACACAGAGAGCAAGAGUCUGUUAUAAGUGGCCUUUCAUAGCUACAGCGACGGGGAAGUGAAUCCUGAAGGAGCGUGAGGGGGCGCGCCGUGGAGAUUCUGAUCACCCCACUCCCAGGUUUUCGGAGUAUCCCAGGGAGAAAGUAGAAGAAAAUAAGAAAGGGGGCAUUUUUUGCCAGCGGGGGGCGCUGUUGCUAUUUUAUAGACUCUCCUGAUGAGAGACGAGACGAUGCCUGCUGCUUUCUGCACAUCUGGUCCCCUAGAAUGGCCAGAGCCUGGCGUGGUGCUGAGACUAGGUUUCUAAGCUGACAUCUCACGAACUGAGUGGUAGAGUUGUACGGGAAGCAGCGAGCAGGACUCCUGUGACCUCUGCUGUUUUCUCAGGGCCCAUACAGACCAGAUGGCUAGAAGAGCUUGACUUAGGGUUUUUAUUUUUUGUUUUUUUGCUGAUUGAAAACAAACAAACAAACACAAAACAAAAAAACCCACAAAACUUUAUUCUUUGAAAGUUCCAUACAAUUUUCUUUUGAAACUGCACGUGUGUCUAUCUGUGGGGGAGAUGCUCAGAGAGGCCAGAAGUGUGACAUACCUCUGGGGCUGGGUGUGAGCUGCCCACUGUGGGUGCUGGGAGAUGAAUAAGGCCCUCCUGGAACGCAGUAAACUUCUCUACUGGGGCUGCAGAGGUGGCUCAGCGGUUAGGAGCACUGGCUGCUCUUCCAGAGGUCCUGAGUUCAAUUCCCAGCAACCACAUGGUGGUGGAAACUGAUGCCCUCUUCUGGUGUGUGUAAAGACAGCUACAGUGCACUUGUAUACAUUAAAUAAAUAAAUAAAUAAAUAAAUAAAUAAAUAAAUAAA